GCCUGUGUUCUCCUGAAGGAUUUUGAUGGAUUCCUUUCUCACAUUGAGGUAAAAUGGCUCCUGAUGUGUUCUGCACACUGGAAAGGGGAAAGGACCCCAGGACUUGACUUCAGCAGCCUUUGGGACAGCACUCCUUCCUGAAAACAUGGGAAGUGUUUUGUUUCUCCUCUAUACCUCAGAUAUUUGGCUAUCUCCUGCUGUCAAAGAGGGGCAAUGAAGAAUUCAAAGCAAGAGAAGAAUUUAGAGAUGGAUAGAGAGAGGAAACGUGGCUCCAUAGGAACCGCAGGUGAUGCCGUUGUUCCCAGGGUGGUGUUAACAAGAAUGAAAUCAUUUCCAUGCAAUUGAUUCAUACAGGUAUAUCUUGCAGCAAGGGGCCUUCUCAUCAGCUCAACGCCCUCAGCAUCCGUGCCUCACGAUUUCCUGCUUCAUGUCUAAUUGGACUGGAAGAUGGACUGUUUCUCCAGAGUCUCUUGUGGGAAUUUGUCUAAGAGCGUAUACAUCUGGAGGCUGUUUGGAUGAGUUCUGUGUCCCACACUUCUGUUCUUUCUGAGCAGAAGGCAUAGUGGAGGCAGAUGAAAGGCUCAUGGAACAGUUUGCUUUUUAAGUAGUUUCAGUUUCUUUUCAGAAACAUGAACUGCUCAUCCUCGGUCACAAGGGACCCCCUUUCCCUGGGCAGGGUGGAGGAAUCUGCACUGCCCACAA